rnacentral:rRNA from 1 species
AUUGAACGCUGGCGGCAGGCCUAACACAUGCAAGUCGAGCGGAUGAAGGGAGCUUGCUCCUGGAUUCAGCGGCGGACGGGUGAGUAAUGCCUAGGAAUCUGCCUGGUCGUGGGGGAUAACGUCCGGAAACGGGCGCUAAUACCGCAUACGUCCUGAGGGAGCAAGUGGGGGAUCUUCGGACCUCACGCUAUCAGAUGAGCCUAGGUCGGAUUAGCUAGUUGGUGGGGUAAAGGCCUACCAAGGCGACGAUCCGUAACUGGUCUGAGAGGAUGAUCAGUCACACUGGAACUGAGACACGGUCCAGACUCCUACGGGAGGCAGCAGUGGGGAAUAUUGGACGAUGGGCGAAAGCCUGAUCCAGCCAUGCCGCGUGUGUGAAGAAGGUCUUCGGAUUGUAAAGCACUUUAAGUUGGGAGGAAGGGCAGUAAGUUAAUACCUUGCUGUUUUGACGUUACCAACAGAAUAAGCACCGGCUAACUUCGUG